CCGAUCACCGAAGUUAAGCAUCGUAGAGCCAGGUCAGUACUUAGAUGGGGGACCGCUUGGGAACACCUGGUACUGUAAG
rnacentral:rRNA from 1 species